GCCAUAUUAUGUUGAAACACCAGUUCCCAUAUGGUCACUGAAGUUAAGCAAUGUUGAGUCUGGUCAUUAUCUAGAUGAGUGACCACUUUGGAAUACCAGGUGUUGUAAG